rnacentral:rRNA from 1 species
CGGACGGGGUGAGUAAUGUCUGGGAAACUGCCCGAUGGAGGGGGAGAACUACUGGAAACGGUAGCUAAUACCGCAUAACGUCGCAAGACCAAAGAGGGGGACCUUAGGGCCUCUUGCCAUCGGAUGUGCCCAGAUGGGAUUAGCUAGUAGGUGGGGUAAUGGCUCACCUAGGCGACGAUCCCUAGCUGGUCUGAGAGGAUGACCAGCCACACUGGAACUGAGACACGGUCCAG